rnacentral:ncRNA from 1 species
GCAAAGGUGAUGAAGGGGAAGAGUAGGCCCUAAAACGCCCAUCCCCAGAGAGGGGGUGCCGUGGCUGAAAGCAUCCCUGGAGGGUAGGGACUGAAAACCACCCCGGAGCUGCCCUGCCGAACGCCGCCGGGAGCGGUUACUAAGCGGGGCCGGUGAGGUGCCGUUAUCGCCUUUAAAGCGGGCGGGCCGGUAUAUUGCUUUUGUCCGGCUGCCAAGCAGGGUGGAACCGCGGAAUUUUUCGUCCCUGAA